AUAGCCCUGCAAAUCCGAAGCCCUAAGUUCCUACUUAGGAGGUUGAGGUAGGAAAUGCGGGGCUAA
rnacentral:sRNA from 12 species